rnacentral:rRNA from 1 species
CCUACGGGAGGCAGCAGUGAGGAAUAUUGGUCAAUGGGCGGAAGCCUGAACCAGCCAAGUAGCGUGCAGGAUGACGGCCCUACGGGUUGUAAACUGCUUUUAUACGGGAAUAACGCGCCUUACGUGUAGGGCUUUGCAUGUACCGUAUGAAUAAGGACCGGCUAAUUCCGUGCCAGCAGCCGCGGUAAUACGGAAGGUCCGGGCGUUAUGCGGAUUUAUUGGGUUUAAAGGGAGCGUAGGCCGCAUGUCAAGCGUGCUGUGAAAGGUCCGGGCUCAACCCGGGCCUUGACGCGCGAACUGGCGUGCUUGAGUCCGCGGAAGGCAGGCGGAAUUCGUGGUGUAGCGGUGAAAUGCUUAGAUAUGGCGAAGAACCCCGAUUGCGAAGGCAGCUUGCUGCAGCGGAACUGACGCUGAUGCUCGAAAGCGCGGGUAUCGAACAGGAUUAGAUACCCGAGUAGUC